ensembl:lncRNA
GUAAGAGAGGGAGGAGGAGGGCUGGAGAGAAGAGAGAGGAGAGAGAGAGGGAGGAGGGCUGGAGAGAAGAGAGAGGAGGUAAGGAGAGGGAGGAGGGCUGGAGAGGAGAGUGAGGAAAGGAGAGGGAGGAGGGCUGGAGAGAAGAGAGAGAGGAGAGGAGAGGGAGGAGGGCUGGAGAGAAGAGGGAGGAGAGGAGAGGGAGGAGGGCUGGAGAGAAGAGAGUGAGGUAAGGAGAGGGAGGAGGGCUGGAGAGAAGAGAGAGGAGAGGAGAGGGAGGAGGACUGGAGAGAAAGAGAGGAGGUAAGGAGAGGGAGGAGGGCUGGAGAGAGAGGGAGGAAAGGAGAGGGAGGAGGGCUGGAGAGAAGAGAGAGAGGAAAGGAGAGGGAGGAGGGCUGGAGAGAGGAGAGAGAGGAG